GACGAACGCUGGCGGCGUGCUUAACACAUGCAAGUCGAACGGAAAGGCCCUGCUUUUGUGGGGUGCUCGAGUGGCGAACGGGUGAGUAACACGUGAGUAACCUGCCCUUGACUUUGGGAUAACUUCAGGAAACUGGGGCUAAUACCGGAUAGGAGCUCCUGCUGCAUGGUGGGGGUUGGAAAGUUUCGGCGGUUGGGGAUGGACUCGCGGCUUAUCAGCUUGUUGGUGGGGUAGUGGCUUACCAAGGCUUUGACGGGUAGCCGGCCUGAGAGGGUGACCGGCGACAUGGGGACUGAGAUACGGCGCAGACUCCUACGGGAGGCAGCAGGGGGGAAUAUGGCACAAUGGGCGGAAGCCUGAUGCAGCAACGCCGCGUGCGGGAUGACGGCCUUCGGGUUGUAAACCGCUUUCGCCUGUGACGAAGCGUGAGUGACGGUAAUGGGUAAAGAAGCACCGGCUAACUACGUG
rnacentral:rRNA from 1 species